AGUGAACGCUGGCGGUAGGCCUAACACAUGCAAGUCGAACGGCAGCACAGUAAGAGCUUGCUCUUACGGGUGGCGAGUGGCGGACGGGUGAGGAAUACAUCGGAAUCUACUUUUUCGUGGGGGAUAACGUAGGGAAACUUACGCUAAUACCGCAUACGACCUACGGGUGAAAGCAGGGGAUCUUCGGACCUUGCGCGAUUGAAUGAGCCGAUGUCGGAUUAGCUAGUUGGCGGGGUAAAGGCCCACCAAGGCGACGAUCCGUAGCUGGUCUGAGAGGAUGAUCGGCCAAACGGGAGAUGGGACACGGUCCAGACCCUGACGGGAGGCAGCGGUGGGAAUUAUUGGAAAAGGGGCGGAAGCCUAUUCCAGCCAAACGGCGUGGGUGAAGAAGGCCUUCGGGUGGUAAAGCCCUUUUGUUGGGAAAGAAAAGCACCAGGUUAAUACCCCGCUGUUCUGAGGGUACCCAAGAAUAAGCACCGGCUAACUUCGUG
rnacentral:rRNA from 1 species